AGUAAUGAGACCAGAAGGAAGUCUCCUGCUUUUUUAAUUGGUAUAACGGACAGUGACGCUGUAUACAGAGCACACUCAGACCAGACAAUGCCAAGACAGCAACUGGGGGAGAAGUCAGGACACUGCUCACACAUUGCCCAGAGGGACUGACAGGCACAAGGACAGACAGGAGGGAGCUGAGAUGUGAAGGUGUGACAAGGCAGGGUGGUGGGGAGCUCAGACUGAGCCAGGAAGGGGAGGGGUCUCUGCUGAAUCGCUCUUUAGAAAUCAAAGAGAAGGCAGGUGGUUGGUGCUGGGUGGCAUUGAGGCUCAGUCCUGGGGACUGGGGUGGGAGUGACUAAGGCUUCUAUUCUAACAGGCCUGGGGUGGGUGGCAGUCUGCAAGGCCUGCCUCACCCUUUGGUUAUGACUGGCCAGGCCUGAGCCCUGCAGCUCAGCACCUGACACUGUAAACAUUUUUGGUAUUUUUAAAGGACUUUGCCCUCUCAGUUUCUGGAAAAGUGGGGCUUCCUCAAAGGAAAAUGUGCCAAAGGAAUCUGAAGGGAGGCAGAAAGCAGACCUGGGUAUAGGAGAGGCUUGGAGGGGAGGCUGCCCGUCUCACCAUCUAUGGCUGAGAGCCCUGGGAGAGCCCCAGGGGACUAUUGCUGUUGUCCUUGGCAUGGCUGGAGGCUAGGCAGGCAGGGGCUUGCGGAGCCACAGGAGCAGCCCUGGAGGAGAGGCCACACCCACUGCCCCCAGGGCUUCCCUGACCUUUAUUGCAGGCAGGUGCUUCUCCCAAUGGCUGGUCACCUAGGCUGAGGCAAGACAGGCUGGGGCGGGGCUGAAGAGAAGGAGGCACUGGCCACAAGGGCUCCUGGCAGGGCUCUGAUUGUUGGGACAGCAGCUUCCUUCGGGGAGUGGAGGGGCAGAUAUUGCACUUUUAAAUGCAACAGUUACAUGGAAACUUGAUCCAUAAAAUAAUCGUUGCUUUAUACAUAACGCCUGAAACAACAAAAAGCUACAUCUUAAAUAUGUAUAAACCCUGAAGGUUCCAUCCCUCCAGACAUUUCUCUCUGCACAAAAUAAAUAGCUUUCCCUCUGUAUAGGCCCUCUGUGGGGAGCACUUCCAUGCCCCUGUGGCUGUACAUAUCUACACAGGAAAGUCAGCAUCACCUGGGCACCUCCUCAGCCCAGCCAUGUAGCCCUGAGUCUAGUCCAGCUUGGCAGCUUUUCAGGGACAGAGCCACGUUGCUAGACAGCUGGCCUCAGCUAGGUGGGCUCAGCCAGCUCAGGAAAGGUGGAGGAGCUGAGGCAGCUGGAGCUGAGAUUGUGCUGGAUGCUGGGGGAAGGCAGGUGCUCAGACCCAGGUGCAGGAUAUGACCUUGGGCAGAAAUGAAAUGGCUGCCUGCCCUUAAGCUAACAAAGUGAGCUGUGGCUUCUUUAGAGUUGGCAUUAAAACGGAAUGGCAUUAAGAAAACCUAAGGGGCCCCCCCCCCCCCAGAGUAGAAAUCCUGUAGAAUUGUGGGUCAGGUGAGGGAGGGAGCCCACACCUUGCCGAGUGGGCCAGGUGCAGGGCCCACAGGUCAGACCAGGCUGGACCCUGUCACAGUGCUGGGUAUUUCCAGUGUGGAGGGGCUGCAUUACACUGAGAGUUAAGAAAAGGAAGCAGCCAAGGAUUGCUUUUUAAAAAAACAUAGAAAUUAGAUUGAGAAGUAGAAAGGCGUAGAAACGCGGGAGGGCAGAAGCCAUGGCACCAGGGCCUUGGCCCCAUGGCAGGCAAGAGUGGAAGUGGAGACCAGGCUUGCCCAGGCAUAGCUGCCCAAGAUGGGCUACUCAGGCUGGCUCUGGACUUCACUAGCCUCAAGCCUGUGUUCUGCUCAAGGCUGGGUGUGACACCCGGCCUGUGACUGCACUGGACUCCAGGUGGGGCAAGUGGAUGGAUGGGCAGCAGUCCAGAAUUGCCACUGGGAUGCCAUGGUGCUGGCAGGCCAGGAAGGCUGCAGAAAUUAACAUAUGGCCUUUCUCCCCUGCUUGCACGAGGAUUUGCCACACUGGAACAUUCUGUGUGGUGACAGGUCCUGGAUCAGUAGAUACUGGGUUUUCAUGCACAUCAACAAGUCUGGAGCCAAAGGAGAUGGUAACGAGUCUCCAC